CACAGAGCAGCAAACUUCACUCAGCAAAGACCUUUUUUGCUACAGGUGGAAGAACGUGAAGUUGUUGACAUGAAGCUGGAGCUGCUGGUGGUGUUGGCAGUGGUGGUUCUGCUGCCCAGCCUGUCCGAGGGUCGGAUUGUCUCCAAAUGCGAGCUGAGAGAAAAGCUUGACCAGGCACUCAUCCUGCCUGAAAGCCUUCAAAAGUUCAGGGAGAAAAUCCUGAAAAUAGUUAUCUGUGAGGCAAAUAGGAGGUCCCAUCUGAACACCGGCCUGGUCAGGGUCUUUGGCAAGCGCAGAACUACAACAGCCAGGCCAACAACUGCAGUCACAACUACCACACCAACAACUACCCAACCAACGACUACCCAACCAACGACUACCCAACUAAUG